rnacentral:rRNA from 1 species
CGGCGGACGGGUGAGUAACACGUGGAUAACCUACCUAUAAGACUGGGAUAACUUCGGGAAACCGGAGCUAAUACCGGAUAAUAUAUUGAACCGCAUGGUUCGAUAGUGAAAGACGGUUUUGCUGUCACUUAUAGAUGGAUCCGCGCCGCAUUAGCUAGUUGGUAAGGUAACGGCUUACCAAGGCGACGAUGCGUAGCCGAACUGAGAGGGUGAUCGGCCACACUGGAACUGAGACACGGUCCAG